rnacentral:rRNA from 1 species
GACGAACGCUGGCGGCGUGCCUAACACAUGCAAGUCGAACGGAACUGUUUUGAAAGAUUUCUUCGGAAUGAAUUUGAUUUAGUUUAGUGGCGGACGGGUGAGUAACGCGUGAGUAACCUGCCUUCAAGAGGGGAAUAACAUUCUGAAAAGAAUGCUAAUACCGCAUGACAUAUCGGAACCACAUGGUUUUGAUAUCAAAGAUUUUAUCGCUUGAAGAUGGACUCGCGUCCGAUUAGUUAGUUGGUGAGGUAACGGCUCACCAAGACCGCGAUCGGUAGCCGGACUGAGGGGUUGAACGGCCACAUUGGGACUGAGACACGGCCCAGACUCCUACGGGAGGCAGCAGUGGGGGAUAUUGCGCAAUGGGGGCAACCCUGACGCAGCAACGCCGCGUGAAGGAUGAAGGUUUUCGGAUUGUAAACUUCUUUUAUUAAGGACGAAAAAUGACGGUACUUAAUGAAUAAGCGCCGGCUAACUACGUG